UAUGGGGAGUGUCUUGGCGGUGGUCACGCCUUCCCCGUCGUCCUGGCCGGCGUCUGUAUUGGUGGAGGCGCUUCCGUCAUCUCCCUUCCAUCGUGGCGUCCCAGCCCCAGCAACGGCAGCUUCCUUCGCGCGGGCCGCCGGGCUCUGGGCGCUUCUUCUCUAGCAGCCUUAUCCCGACGGCGGUGGUCAUGGCAUGCUCGCACUCCAGGGCACGCGUGCCGGUCUGGAUCUUCCUCCCCUGCUGCGGCGCCACGGGGAGACGAAGUCCUCCGUCGGCGUACAGGUUCUGUUUUUUCCCAAAUUGAUGUGCUGCUAGGUUAUUUAGCCGAUGAAAGGAAACAAAUUAGAUUUCAUUAUGCGUGAUUGCUGCAGAAGCCAUGUCAAUUUCCAUUCUAGCCAUCAGUUUCUGGGAUGGAUGCGGGUAAUCAUUCUUUCAGAUAUGCAAUUUUCCUAACGUCCUGUGUGACUCAAGUAAUUCUCGUGUGCCACAGUAAUUACUGGCAAGUGGAGUCAAAUAGUACAUAUUAUUUUCCAGUUACUGUCUGGAAAACAUACUCUACAUUUAUGUUUCCAUUUUCCAAGAACAUGACUUUACAAAAUGACCAGGGUGCAUUCAAACUUAUCUGAUUUCCAUUGAGUAGUCAAAAUCUUCUUGCUUCAUUUUCUUUCCAAGGAAGCUGGAUAGAAAGCUCCACCUAUUAUUUAUCACCUGGCGUAUUUAUUCCCCGAGAAGAGAAAAGCCUACAUGCUCAAUCACAUUCGGCAUUACAAUAAUAUUUUAGUGUAUUAUUUUUUGCUUGCAGGUGACAUAUAUAUAUAUUUCAUUGCAAACCAUGAUCCAUUUACAACUGAACAUUGUUGUUAACUAACCAAUCCACAAAUGCUACAGGUAUUCCCUCCCUUUUUGGGGCAUAUAUUGGCAUAUUUUGACCAGUUACAUAAGAGACUGUUGCUUCUCUUCGUGGUUGCAUUUCUCCUCGGUUAUUACAAUUACUGGAUUGAACAACAAUGACUGUUGUAUAUCUUGGGAUUUUAUUUUUGAUGAGUUAGUGCACACCUGUGUUCCCCUUUAUCCCUUCCUAUUAUUUAUUGGCAAGUUUCACAAAGCAACCGAGGAGAUCGUUAUUGGCAAUUCACAAUAGAGAGAAACUAUAAAUUAUUAAAUAUUAUUGAAGAGAAAUUCGCAAGAGAUUUAACUACAUUAUCGAGUCCAUUUUAUUGCUUCAGAAGACAAGUGAAAAUUGCUUUACAAGUUUGUAAACAGUGAAGCUAUAACAUCAGUAAAUGUUUUUUUUUUGUGUCGCCUCUGAUCUUACCUUAAGGGCAUUAUAUACCUGUAGCGUACAUCCAGGAAACUACUAUGUGUAUGGAAAUGGAUCAUUUUAGUUACUGCUGAUCUGUAGCCUCUGAUUUUAAACUGGCCUAAUCUAACUUACUGGUUAGGAAGUAAAACAUAGACAAAAGGUAGCAACAUGGGUGAGCAAGUAAGGUCGUGUCAGGGAUGAUACUGAUAUCAGAUUCAGUGGCCAGGGGAAAGACAAUGGUAGUCAUUUAAAUCAUUUUUACACACGGAUAAUUACGAAUUAUAAUAUAUCACUACUGUUCCAUUCUAAUGAAAGCUGAGAUACACCACUUGUGCAUUAUGUUUGUCAUGAUUAACCCAUUUCUGCCUCUUUCGCUUAGCGAUAAGAAUUUUAAGCUAUAAACCAUGUACUUUCAUACCAGUCCUGCAGCUUCCAAGUGUAUCACUUACUACCACAGCAUGUUUGCCAUACUUGCACACAUUGCCUCUUAUCUAGGCUUAUGACACUUUUCUUUUUACGGCGAGUGGGUUAGUUGACUCAAGUUAAUUUUUCCUGCUCUGGCCUUGGUGACAUACUGACAUAUAAAAAAGCCUUGGCAUGCAGAUUAGUUGAUUCAUGUGAUUUCUCUACGUAUGACUCCUACAUAUGUUCUUGAUUUACCUCGCUAUAUAUUUUUUCAUCCAUUGAUUAGAAGUUUAUCCUUCAUGCAAAUAUUUCUUUUUCAUUUGGGACUUAUAGGUUCUCUUUUAUCACAGGUUAUCAACACCCCACCAUCUGUAGUUCGGAGAAAGCUGAAUUUAUUGAAAUUGAUCGGGAAUGGCCAUAUCAUUUACUUUGUUCUCCUUAUCAGUUAUCACAUAUUGAACAGAGUUGCAUGGAUAAGCAUGAGAUAUGCCCUGCAGUUGAAAGCCUGAGGUUGAGCUCAUAUUACCAACUGAUCUUCUUCACCUUGCAGUUGUAAGGCUAUAAUCCAUAGCUUCAGUAAGCUUCUUCCAGAAGCUAGCUAGCUUCAGUAAGUUUCAGUUCGGUAAUUAAGCAAUUCUGGUCCGUAAGUGUUCUUCAUAUUACUAAUGAACUGCGAACUAGGUUACUGGAUUUUGCUAUGUGACUGCCUUCCUGCCACGGUUUUCCUUUCUAUUUUGCGAAGUGUUGAUGACCUAUUUGGCAUCCUAUAAACAAAUAGUUUCAUAUGUACAUAUAAUUGUAUGGAGAUUGAGAACUCAAGUAAUCUUGCUGUUCAAUGUAUUUUUUUCCUUCCUGGGGAGAUAGAUACCUUUUUAUGCCGAACUCCUGAUUGAAUUUUGUUCGACGAUGCAAGAUGGCCACCUCUCACCACGUGCGUCCGGCGGAAGCAGCCAAUAUUUGUUCAAGCCUGACACAUCUUGGAGCCAUGGACUCAACAUGGAUCGACCUGGGCAGUAGUAUAUUUCAGAUCAGCGUGUUUCUCUCAAGUAGUCUGCCAAGGUCGAUUCCUUGCCAUUGUCCAGAUUGCAAGUAGCAUACACACAUGAAGCUGCUGCACUGCGUUCAUAGAUGAGGUCUGCCCAUUUUCGAGAUUUUCUGUUAUAGAGUUGUUCUUGAGGGAUACAUGGCUGGUCUACAAGAUGGGCCUUCACGUAUGCCCCAUCUAUCUAUUCAUUUAGAGAGAAAAUGGCACAUGUUCAGAGAUGGAGAUUAAACUGUGCAUUUGUGCGCUGCUUAGGUUGAAACUAUACAAGAAGAUAGAUUAGAGAGUGAUUUGUAUGAAGAUGUAUGCAAAGAAGACAAUGGUUCAUGUGUGUAUACUUGAAGUCACCUCUGCGGUUGUUGCCCGUCCCCAGCAAGGUACCUUUGUUCCCAAUCCCUGUGUAUUCUCCCUGUGUCCUCAUGUGGUUCCUCCUCCCUGCUGCGUUAGGCCCUUGUUUGCUACGUGCUUGCUUGCUGCUGGGUGUCCGUGCUUGUUUCCUGUUGAGUGACUACACUGUAUACCAUUGCCGCUGGACAACGAGAGGAAUUGGGGACCGUAGCAUAAAUAAUAUAAUUAACUCAGUGAUGGGGUAGAUGUAUGUUACUAAUGCAUAGGUGUCUAAGACUAAUAACUUUAGUUCCUUUCUUGGCAGCUUCAAAUAUCACAUGCUAUCGAGAUAUGAUGAGUCUUAAUAAUUAUGACCUGCGGGUCAUCUAUAUCAAUCUCCGCAUAUAUGCAAGAUAAACUUGAGUGAUCUGGAGUGAAUGGGAGAUUAGGAGGCGUGCAAUAAAGAAAUAUCUUCAGUGUCGGUUACCUAAAGGACAUUUCGAUAUUACAUUUUGCAAUAGGCGAGGAAUUGGUUGCAUUAUUUAUACAUGGUGAUAAGAAGGUGACUAAAUUUUCCUAAAUGACGAUCUUGACUUAGUUUGUGGAAUUUAGAGAGAACAAAAUGAUCAUAUGUGCAUCUAUGGUGAUCAUUUGCUCUUCUGGUGUGUUCUUCUCAUUCAGUACUCGUAACUCUAGACAUGAGUGCAGAUCUGGGGAGGUCUAGAACAGGAAGAAGCUACCAUAGAAAAUUCAUUAAGAAGCUGCCAAACUCAUAUCAGCCUCUUGCCUUUCGUAAGAAACCAUAGUAAGUGUCAUUCUUGAAUCAUGUUAUGGUGUACCCACCCCCAUCAGUUUCUGUAAAUGUACCCAUUGUUAGUCUUUUAUAGUUUGCAUGUCUAAUUUUCAUUUUAUAUUGCAGUUGACAAAUUCCAGCUGAUCGUGUGAUUAAUCAUCUGCUAUAUCAGCAAUCUAGACGAGUUCAAAAUCAAACCUAUGCAUAGACACAUGAUAUAUUUCCUCAAUGUGCUUGUUUAUUUACUAAUUUUAGUACCACACAAAAGCUUAAGCAAACAACUAGCUGAUAUUCAGAUGUAUUACCUAUCGCGUGCUUUGUAUAAAAUCUUGAGAUAUUAUAGUGAGCUAACUUUUGCUUCCUUAGUAACAAAUAUGUUCACAACUCUAAUUUCUGCUCUAACUUAUUUUGGAAAGCACCCAAAUAUUAGGAUCAAAACUGGAGCAAUUAUCUUGGACAUACUGGAAAUUCAUUGGAGUCCAGCGUUUAUAGUGAAAGGUUGCUAUCCCUUCAAGCUCUGCUUUCUACUUCUGUCCCUGAUGAGGGUGUUGUUGUUGCAUGACUGUUUGAGUUGGAUCUUUGCUAUUUAGUUUCAUGUUUUAACUGAUUACUACCUAAUUUUUCCAUGGGAGCUUACUAUGUUUUGGGUGUUAGAUUGAGAUUUCCUCUUCGUGGGCUAAUAUCUUUUUUCCUGAAGCUCAAUUAUGUACAUGGGCAGAACUACGGCAUAAUACCUAUGGUACAAUAGCACAAAUGUGCUGGAGAGGUGGGUCUUGCUAUUUAGUACCAUCACACUUUUCCCAUGGGAGCUACUAUGCAUUGGGUGUCAUAUUCCAUGCAGCCAAAGGUCAGUGUUUAAUUUCAUUGUCUUUUAGUCUACAAUUUCUUUAUCUUCUUGUGGAUGAAAGGUUGGUUCGCGAAGUCAAAUUAACUAUAGCCAUGGUCAUGCUGCUAGAUUGUAGAAUUUUAUUUGAGACUUUUGCUUUCUGUGUUUGGUCCUGUAGCGUUAGAUGUUCAUGAUAUGUACAUAAGAUGGGCUAAAUUAUGUUGAACCUUUACGAUUACUAGGACUUCCCUUUCUCUCUCUAUUUUUCGACAUGCAUGAUGCAUUUCUAGAUGGAUUAGUCGUGUGGGUUUUCUCAACUAUGUUGUCUCCUCUAAAUAUUUUGUGCUAUAAUCCUAUUUUACAAUAGCAUGGAAGUGUUGCAGUACUGUAAAUAUGUUCAUUUGUUUGUAUUGUGUUUCAAGACGUGAGGCCUUACUGAUUUUCACAUCCCGGUGCGAUUUUUUUAUAGGUUCUGUGGGCAAUAUUUGAAAGAACCUGUAAAUAUUUGGAAUACACAUUAGAACUUGAUGGGUUCAAGCUACCUACAUGUACUGAAGUAUUGCUGAUAGCCUGUCACUUUUGUUUAGUUACUGAAAUACCGAGGUCGUUCCUAAAGACAGUCUAUAAUGUGGUUUGCACCACCUUCUAUUUUACUAUAUUGUAAUAAAAUUUUGUUGCCCUUUUUUCUAUCUAUGAUAUGAUUUUGUAUCUACACCUUUUAUAUUGUGAAGGUUUGUUUCUUCCUGCUAAAAAAAUCAUUUACACUGUUUCCUAUUCUCCAGGUCUGUUCAUCAAUUUCUUGGCAUGAACUCUUUAAUUGCUUCUUCGUAUCUGCCAUUAGAGUAACAUAGGUCAACGUACAGAAAUAGCAUGUGUUGUACAUCUUCAUGUGGAGAUUUCUCAUGGUGUUCUCUUCUCUAUCUUGUUGUGUAUAUAAAAUGUAUAGUGUUAUACCCCUGAGGAUUCUCGUUCAUGGUGUUCCUUUGGCAUCUAUGUUGGAUUUGUGUGAAUUAUGUGUAACUUAACUCACUUCAGCUAUAUGAAAGCUCUGGUUGUAUCUUCUA